GCUAAGUUGCUGAAGCUGUUUACUGAUGCCUUCGGGCUGAGGUGAAAAGUGGAGCCAACGACCCUAUUCUGGUGCGGUUAACGUAUUAACAGGUGUGACGCAGGAAGGUAGCCUCCGCGGGGCGAUGGUUGUCCCCGUUUAAGGAUGUAGGGCGAGAGAUAGGCAAAUCCGUCUCUCACAUAGCCUGAGAUCUGAUGAUGAGUCCUUAUGGACGAAGUGGGUGAUCCUAUGCUGCCAAGAAAAGCAUCGACGUGAGGUUCUAGCUGCCCGUACCCCAAACCGACUCAGGUAGUCAAGUAGAGAAUACUAAGGGGAUCGAGAGAAUCGUGGUUAAGGAACUCGGCAAAAUGCCCCCGUAACUUCGGGAGAAGGGGGGCCUGAGGUGUGAAGACAUUUACUGUUGGAGCACUGUAUGGCCGCAGAGACCAGUGGGGAGCGACUGUUUAUCAAAAACACAGGUCCGUGCGAAGUCGCAAGACGAUGUAUACGGACUGACGCCUGCCCGGUGCUGGAAGGUUAAGAGGAUGGGUUAGCUUCGGCAAAGCUCAGAAUUUAAGCCCCAGUAAACGGCGGUGGUAACUAUAACCAUCCUAAGGUAGCGAAAUUCCUUGUCGGGUAAGUUCCGACCUGCACGAAUGGCGUAACGACUCCCCAACUGUCUCAACCGCGAACUCGGCGAAAUUGCACUAUGAGUGAAGAUGCUCAUUACGCGCAGAAGGACGAAAAGACCCCGUGACCUUUACUAUAGCUUGGUAUUGGUGUUCGGUGCUGCAUGUGUAGGAUAGGUGGGAGACUAUGAAGCUUGGACGCUAGUUCAGGUGGAGUCAUUGUUGAAAUACCACUCUUGUAGCCCUGGAUAUCUAACCGCGAACCGUGAUCCGGUUCCGGGACAGUGCCUGGUGGGUAGUUUAACUGGGGCGGUUGGAAUUGCAAUAGCGCCCUUAUAGACCACGCCAUCUAAAUCAAGCAGAACGGAGUCGAAGCUAUCUACCAGCACCUCUAGGGCCUCUCCCUUUGGAAUCAGGACGCUUUGGUCUG
rnacentral:rRNA from 1 species